rnacentral:misc_RNA from 1 species
CCUAAAUUUUGUAAAUCUUAUUAAAAUUUUAACAUAAUUAUACAUGUAUGAAAUAAAUAAAUAUCAUUAAUUUAAUAUUACAACUAAACAAAGAAAAAUAUUUUUCAGAUACAAAUCAUUUUUAGUGAAACAAACGGAGCCUUAAUCAAACAGCUGAGCUUCUCCAAGUCUACUUUUUGUUCAAAACUCUCAACGUCCAUACUAGAAAGACUCCAGCCUACUACAUUGGUCAGUAUACAUUAUUGACCACUUUGAAUUCAUUUGAUGCUUUGUUCACAAAUUCCAUAGACUACCAUUCCUGGCAUGUAAAAAUAGGUUUCACUUACUCAUUUGUAACCUCCAGUAACAUUAGCUGCAACUUUGGAAUUUGUCGAAAUUGUUAACCUUGUCUGGUACCAAAUUUACCAGGUCAACGGUUUCCGGGAACCCCCUCCUUGAACAAGACUAAAACCGACCUGAUUCAAAAACCUUUUUUUUUUCCCUAAAAAUUCAUAUUGGGUUUGUAUUUGAGUUUUUAUAAUUUUUUACAUUAAAAACUAAAUUUACAUCUAAGCUAAAUCAGAACCAAAACUGUCCCUAAACCAUUUCAACUGAAAUCAAGCCGAACUAACAGUUCUGAUCUGAAACCAACUCGUGGCUAGGUCUACUUUGGAGCACAAGAGACUUCUGCUUAACCUCAAAAACACAACUUCAUCACUUCAGAAUCUAAAUCAAAACACGAGAUACAUAUUCAUCCUUUGCUAAGUUGCGAGCAUGAAAGCAAAUCAAGAAAACACAUUUGUGAUAGUUGGAUAAUGGAUAAGCCAUUUUCUGAAGACAGACAUGAAAUACCAAAACUAUGCCAGCAGGAACAUUGCCCUUAAAGAGAAUGACCAUCGCUUUCACUUAAGAUAAAGAAGCAUGUAUAAAAUAUACAAAGGCAGUUAUUUCAAGAUCUUUUCCUGCUCACUGGGUUUCCUUUCCCUCUGUUACAACUAAGCCAAGUCUGCUUUCUAAUGCUACACUCUAUUUAAAGACAGGGCAUCCUUCAACUGUGAUACCAGGUGCAGUUGGACAUGAAGCCAAAGGACAGUGAUCAAUUUCUGUACCCCACCACUUCAAAUCUAUGCCUUCGUUUUGCAAAGCAAAGAACAAUAAUACACCCAU